AGAGUUUGAUCCUGGCUCAGAUUGAACGCUGGCGGAAUGCUUUACACAUGCAAGUCGAGCGGCAGCGCGGGGGCAACCCUGGCGGCGAGCGGCGAACGGGUGAGUAAUGUAUCGGAACGUACCCUGUCGUGGGGGAUAACUAUCCGAAAGGAUAGCUAAUACCGCAUACGACCUGAGGGUGAAAGCGGGGGACCUGGGGUAACUUGGGCCUCGCGCGAUAGGAGCGGCCGAUAUCGGAUUAGCUAGUUGGUGGGGUAAAGGCUCACCAAGGCGACGAUCCGUAGCUGGUCUGAGAGGACGACCAGCCACACUGGAACUGAGACACGGUCCAGACUCCUACGGGAGGCAGCAGUGGGGAAUUUUGGACAAUGGGCGAAAGCCUGAUCCAGCCAUACCGCGUGAGUGAAGAAGGCCUUCGGGUUGUAAAGCUCUUUCAGCCGGAAAGAAAUUGCUUCUAUUAAUACUAGGAGUAGAUGACGGUACCGGAAGAAGAAGCACCGGCUAACUACGUGCCAGCAGCCGCGGUAAUAC
rnacentral:rRNA from 1 species